UAUAAAUAUUUUGUUGGUUAUUUAUUUCUUGACACACAAUACAAAAAUAUGGAAAAUAUACAUAAUUCACCCAAACCCCACAUCAGAUUUUUCCCAUUCUUUCCCACAUAUGCCUCUUUCUAUAUUUCUCUCUUCUAUUUUUACUGCCGGCCGAUUCACUGCCACUAGAGCUCCAUCGGAUUCCUCCACCACCACGCGCCGCUGCUUCCCUCCUUCCUCUUCUCACCGGAGGUGAUAGUCGACGAGCGACGAAUGGAACACCACGACCAACCCUAGUGCCUUCUCCCUUCUUUCCUCUUUCUCUUUUUCUUAUUUUUGUUUAAGCCUCUCCAGAGUUGGUCACUGGUGGGUAGGCCUAUGGUCAAUCCAUCCGCUGCCCUCUUCCAUUCUCCAAUUAUUACUAGCAGAUCUGGUCGGAAGAUGCUUCACUCUGGUGGGUAUGACAGUUUGGAGACUCUGCUGGGGAGUACAAGGUUCUAACCAUUACAGACUUAGAGCAACAAAUCAGUCAAGUCAAGGUCUCGUCACUUUUUAAAAGGCUAGGAGAUUGCUAUCAAGGGCUUACAAGAUUUAUCUUUGUUAUUUUUGUGAUAUUAGAAUAGAGAGUCCUUUACUUGAUUUUGUUCCUAUUCUUCUUGAUCUUUCAAAUAUUUUCCAUAUUAACCUACCUAUCCUUCUUCCUAAGCAUGAUAUUGUUUUCUAUUGAUCUUGAAUCAUGCAGUUGACUUAUUUCCAUGGAAGCAUACUGUAUUGCUUCUGUCACUCUUAAGGAUUUGAAUUCUCAACUUUAGGAUCUUUUACCUAAGUGUUUUCUUAGGUCGAGUGUAUAAUUUUGGGGUACUCAUGUUUUGCUUGUGAAGAAAAAUCAUAGUUCCAUGCAUAUGUGUAUUGACUACAGGCAGUUGUAUAGGGUAACUGUAAGGAAUAAAUAUCCUAUUCCUUCUAUUUAUGAUUUAUUUACCAUCUUCAGAGUGUGCAGUGUUUUCUAUGAUUGACAUGAGAUUUGGUUACCACCAGUUAAUGAUUCAGGCAGAGGAUAUUUAUGAGAGAGCCUUGAAGACUCAAUACAGUCAAUAUAUUUUUUUGGUGAAGUCUUUUGGGUUAACUAAUGCCCCAGCCGCAAUCAUGGACUUAAUUAAUCAUGUCUUUAAGACCUUAUUGAUCUUAUUUAUGAAACACAUUAUAUAUGAUGUCAUUGUUUAUUCAAGGAAUAGAAUGAAGCAUGAGUAUUAAUUUA